AGUUAACGAUUACAAAGAAUAUAUUGGGUAGCGACUGUAUAUUCUCUGAAGUUAACUUAAUACGUAGUAGUGAUUAAAGUUCUCCCAAGGAUACUACUAGGAAGGCACACUUCGAGUUCUCCGAAGUGUGCUUU
rnacentral:sRNA from 16 species